rnacentral:rRNA from 1 species
AGAGUUUGAUCCUGGCUCAGAACGAACGCUGGCGGCAGGCUUAACACAUGCAAGUCGAAGGUGAAGCAGGACUUCGGUCCUGUGGAAACUGGCGCACGGGUGAGUAACGCGUGGGAAUCUACAUUGGGGUGGGGAAUAACCGCUGGAAACGGCGGCUAAUACCGCAUACGCCUUGCGAGGGAAAGCUUUUGCGCCCUGAGAUGAGCCCGCGUCGGAUUAGCUUGUUGGUGGGGUAAAAGCCCACCAAGGCGACGAUCCGUAGCUGGUCUGAGAGGAUGAUCAGCCACACUGGGACUGAGACACGGCCCAGACUCCUACGGGAGGCAGCAGUGGGGAAUAUUGGACAAUGGGGGCAACCCUGAUCCAGCCAUGCCGCGUGCGUGAAGAAGGCCUUAGGGUUGUAAAGCGCUUUCGGCGGGGAAGAUGAUGACGGUACCCGCAGAAGAAGCCCCGGCUAACUCCGUGCCAGCAGCCGCGGUAAUACGGAGGGGGCAAGCGUUGUUCGGAAUUACUGGGCGUAAAGGGCGCGUAGGCGGACCAUCAUGUCAGGGGUGAAAGCCCUGGGCUCAACCUGGGAACUGCCCUUGAAACUGAUGGUCUAAAGUCCGAGAGAGGAUGGCGGAAUUCCCAGUGUAGAGGUGAAAUUCGU